rnacentral:rRNA from 1 species
UACGUAGGUGACAAGCGUUGUCCGGAUUUACUGGGCGUAAAGAGCGCGCAGGCGGUCGAUCAAGUCGAGUGUGAAAGCCCCCGGCUCAACUGGGGAGGGUCAUUCGAUACUGAUCGACUCGAAGGCAGGAGAGGGUAGUGGAAUUCCCGGUGUAGUGGUGAAAUGCGUAGAUAUCGAGAGGAACACCUGCGGCGAAGGCGGGUUGCUGGGCCGUAACUGACGCUGAGGAGCGAAAGCAUGGGGAGCGAACAGG